AGCGAACGCUGGCGGCAGGCUUAACACAUGCAAGUCGAACGCCCCGCAAGGGGAGUGGCAGACGGGUGAGUAACACGUGGGAACGUACCCUUUGGUUCGGAAUAACUUGGGGAAACUCAAGCUAAUACCGGAUAAGCCCUUAUGGGGAAAGGUUUACUGCCGAAGGAUCGGCGCGCGUCCGAUUAUGCUAGUUGGUGAGGGAAUGGCUCACCAAGGAGACGAUCAGUAGCUGGUCUGAGAGGAUGAGCAGCCACACUGGGACUGAGACACGGGCCAGACUCCGACGGGAGGCAGCAGUGGGGAAUAUUGAACAAUGGGGGCAACCCUGAUCCAGCCAUGCCGCGUGAGUGAUGAAGGCCUUAGGGUUGUAAAGCUCUUUAACCCGGGACGAUAAUGACUGUACCGGGAGAAUAAGCCCCGGCUAACUUCGUGCCAGCCGCCGCCGUAA
rnacentral:rRNA from 1 species